rnacentral:tRNA from 1 species
UAUAUUUUAGUGUAUGAAGCACAAUAAUUUUUGAUGUAAUUAGGUAUAGUUUAAUUCUAUAAAAUAUAA